CCUUUUAAAAAUAAAUUACACACACAUCCUUUAAAAGCAAACACAGAAUUAAAAACCAGACAGUUGAUACAACAAAUUAGAGCAUGUACGCAGUUUUUAAUAACAUACACACACACACACACAAAGGAAAGUAAAGAGGACAGCGGGACACAGUGACAGCAGUGAAACUUCAUUCCAUGACCGGCGUGGAAAUGCUGUCAGCCGCGGUCAGUGGGUGAGGGAGCUUCAAAGCCGGCAUUCAUAAAACGGCAAGCCAAGCGGAUAAAGCGGUGAUUCACCGGAGUCUCUGCCGGACACAUUAAAAAGGGACCCGGCGCGGCUCCUCGGGGCUACGGCCACCGACGAGGUCCUGCUACCAGAGGAGCAGCUCAUCCAGCGCUUGACGACAGGAAAGAUAAACGCAAGAAAACCAAACCGAAGAUCGGAUGGCCUCCAGGUGAUCGAUUGGGUGUUGGAAAGAAGCGAUUAAACUGAAAAUAGAGCGAGGCUGGAGCAGAGGCGUGCAUGGCACCCUGUAAACACAGCGGGCGGCGGACCGCUUUCAAGCCAGAUCCACAUGAAACACAAGACACCGUAUCACUGAAUAACGUCUGUCGGAUUAUUUAGGAAGACUGUCCGUGGGCUCUACAUACUGUCUUUGUAAACCGUGCAAACCUCUCGUACUUUGAAGGGUUUAAUUUUCGGAGUGAUACUGAGGCGCAUUACAGCGCACGGUAUCUUAACACGAUAACUGGAACCACCGCUGGUUCCGCUCCACACGGCGACAUCCGAUCCGCACCGAUGAAUAAAUAAAGUAACUGCUUCUGCCAGGACAAUUAACUAUUCAUGAGUAGUGGUCCCAUUGGUCCACGAAGGUGGACUAGAUAGCUUUGAAACCGAGUCAUCAGUAAAAAAUAAAAAUAAAAAAGGAGGCGAAAGAGGGUGAGGGAUCGAGACAAAGACGACGGUGAAGCAACUGGAAGCGAGACGCCGUGCGUGCCAGCCGUCGGAGGAGGAAGGAGGGAGCGAGGGGGGAAGCGAGCGAGAGAGAGAGAGUCCCGAAGACGUCGAGAGUUGUGCUGCCGCCCGUUCCUCCUGCGCUCUGAGCUACAUCAGGCAGGACGGAUGGAGGAGGGACCGGCUCAGUAAUAAUCGUGUACACGCACACACACACACACACACACACACACACACACACACACACACACAGAUUAGGUACGUAUAUCUUUGCGGGGACACACGUGUGCGCUAUCGCCGUCACAGUCACCGAGGUGCUGUUCCGAGGCCAGACUCCGAGGGGACCGAGAUUGACGCUGGCUUAAGUAAUUAGCAGGGAGUUGAUCUGUGACCACUCGGGAGUAAGUGUGGCCAAAAGCUUCCUGCAAAUCUCAGCUCUAGUAGUGUGCAUAUGUUAGACGGCAAUAAUUACGAGAAAUUCCGACAGAAAGGGGUACACAUUGUGCAGAACCUCACAUACAACUGAGAUGUGAACUUCACCGUCAUCUAAUGAACGUCAUAAUAGUGCAAUAAAAUACAGCUUAAUUACCUAGAAACCCCGAAUAAGACUACAGAAUAGAGGAAUCACUGAUGAUUUAUUGAAUUCUCCGUAUUAGACUAAAGGAUUCUGCUGCAUUGUUUGCAGAGGCAACGCUGAAAAAAUCCACAGAGAUGCAAGAGAAAUUACCUGAGGGAACAACGAAGGAUAUUAUAAAGAAAAUACCCUGUUCUCCUGCCUGGCAGCCCUCGCGAUUUGACUUUCGGAGGAAAAAAAGUCAUUCGCAGAAUCGUCCCAGACCCAUUUCUAAGUUUAACUGAGAAACCAGCAGCCGCUGAUGUGGAACCAAACAAGGAGAUAGUUGUUGAACUCCAAGAUAAUCGCUGAUCUGACUGAAAAUGAACCGGUGGGGUAACGGUGCAUUCUCAUCUCUUAUUUCUACCACUUGAAAGGAAAUCGGGAUGCGGUAUAAUGCGCACAAAGGAAAGAGCUGAGAGGUGAGACUAAUAUAACCCUACUAGACAGUGGUAGAUUCAGACCGAGGCAGUUAGUCAGACGAGCAACAAUACCCACACCGCAGUGCUUGGCACAAAACAUGGGUCAGAGUUCCGGGAGCUACCAGCAGAGGGCGAUUAUGAUGCUAGUGACCGACUGACGACUCUCAAUCACAGUUCAGUUCCCUGAGCGACAGUCCGGUGUAGAUUACAGUACCUUUAAAAAUACACGAAUCCGCAAAGAUAAAGCUGUGCAAGUGGGAAAUUAUUUCAAUACAUUCAUAUUGAACUCAAGUCAAAAGUAGAUCAUUUUGCAUUUGAGUACUAAGGUCUAUCAUAUGCUGCCUGGUUUUAGCCGAUGGGGGUCAGUAGCAAGAAGGCUCAAAUUAUUCUUUAUCAGAAAAAACAUGAUAGUAAAACUCAGUGAUUCAGUGUGCACCUUCACUUUUAUAAUGCCAAAUGGACAUCUAUCAACAUCAUUUUCAUUUGCAAGUUUGAAAAAGGACUAUGAAAAAAUCCAGUCAGGCCUGUGGUCAGGUCUUAGAAGGUCCAACACUCAUAAGCAUGGCUGCUUACCUUCUGAGAAAGAUAUUUCUGUACUUGUUUUAUAUAUCCAACGGAUGACACUUUGUUCAAUUAAAUGAUUAAAUAAGGCAUUUUCUAUAUUAAGGAUUAUCAAACAAUUGCUUUUUUAGGCUCAGGGAACAGUUUGAACCCCCCCUUCUUUUUUAGGAACUAAAACCCAGUCACUGCUUGGUCUUUGCAGCUACCUGCUAUCAUGCAGCUCAAGCAACCUCAUUAAGUAUCAUUAACCUCAGUGACCGGUGACUUUUACCAACAUACAUACACCUGGUUGCAUUAAAUCUGCACUGGACAGACUGUCUGCAUAUCUGACGCACCUUGGCCCUGUUACUUUACCAAGCCAGUAUGAAAGCAUAUCUUCUGACACAAGGCCCUCAAAGGCCUCUCCUCCAUCCAUUGGACGCAUAUCAUAUAUAAUCCAAUCAGAUCGCUCUGCUCUUGGUCUUUCCCAGUGGCAAGGAUGUUUUUUUCCUCCAUUUUCUUUUUUUGUUUGUAAAGUGCUCACUUUAGGAAAAAAGUUAUCCAAUUAUGAUUGGAUACAAUCUCAAUCCCACUGACUUGGGUUUAGUGCGGGAUUAUGGAGAUAAGACUAUGAAAAUGCACAGUGCUGGGAGCUACAUGUGUAAAUUGGUAAAAAUAUUUUAAGUGCUGUCACUAAGUUACUAUGUAUUUAUAAACCAUUACUAUGAAGCCUGUUUACUGUAAUUGUAAUUCUGCUUGCAUGCUCGAUAAAACAUUAACUACACAGUAUUCCAAGAUUUUGUAUGGCUUGAUUGAUUCACCAUCCAUCCAUAAAAUAGGAAAUUAUUUCCAUACAAUCCAAAUACUAUAUGACAAAUUGAAGAUAAUGUUUUCUCUUAUACAUUUGAUAAAGACUGUAAAACAUGGCAGGGAAAAAGAAAAACGAACUUGACAGCAUAUUAAAUGUCCAUCAAUCUGCAGAGAUGAAGACAAUGAAACAUUCGAAUUGAUGUUCCCCUAUGAAAGUCUUACCCCAGGCCUGGAGAGGAAAGACAUAUGAUAUUUGACAUCGGCAUCACCCAACACCAACAAGCACCUCUGCUCUGUAAGACAUGAUGUCAGAGAAACUGUCUGCUGCUGUUAAGCCUCUCGACUUGUAUUGUUUAGCUUUUUGUUACGUGCAGGAAAAACAACUUGGGUUCCUCCUGAGCUGAAGACGAUCUCUAACAGCAAAAGCGCAAGAGAAAUGAGACUCAUCCCUAACCAGAGGCCAGCUCUGUGCUUGCUUGUGAGAUAAUUAAAGGAUGGCCAACAGGAAUCCGGUGGCACUGGGCUUGAGUCGUGCUGGCUGUACAAGCAAGGCACCUGAGAGGCCAGGCCGUGCCCAUAAAACGCGCAGUUACAGUAGGCAGUGGAGCUAUUCACUCGUAACCUCAUUAACACAAAAGCCCUUGCCAGCCAUAGAGCAACCGAUCACGAGAAUCUCGUGAGGAAUGCAGCUUGCAUAAAGUCAAACACUUCUGCCUUUUUAAAAAUGUUAUUGUGGUUGUGUUUUACAGUAAAGACCAGCAAGCAAUGAAAGGUGAGCACCUUCUCUCUGUCACUGCCAUUACAACAUUCCCUGCACUGAUUUUUUAAAGCCUAAAGCUAUUAAAAUAGCUAAAUAUGUCACACAUGCCUGCUAGCCCUGCUUGCUCAAUAAAAAAAAAAACAUGUCCUUGAACAUCCAACUGGCAUGUUUAUAGUCAGCCACUGAAUUGUGGGAGAUUUCAUACUCCAACACCACUGAACAAACAGGGGAACUGGCAGCUUGUCUUAGGAAGGAGCUAAUGGAAAUCAUAGCAACACACGUACAGCAGCAAGUCACAGAGCGUGUGAGACUAGCACAUGGCACGCAUACAUGUACUCUCACACAGAACAGCCACGCCAAUGUUAGCACAUCUGAGCAUGACAGAAACCAGAAAGAAGCAAGAAAAAAAAAAACAGGAGCAGAGCUGUGUGCUGCUGUGAGCUCUGGUUCUAAGGAUGCACCUCCUCAACCAUGCCUAGGUAACCACUGCUGCCCCAUGCUAUCAGAUGGAACUCUGGAGGAUUACUACAUAAUAUCUAUUUAGCAAUGAGUGCCAUGCCACAGUCACAGAAAUGGCUGGCAGGACGGUCUCUCCAUCGACACAGUUUGGAGAUUGCUCAUAAAUAAAGCUCAUGCAUUUGAGACUGAUUCUGAUUGUCAGUUUUGGUGAAGCAGAAUGAAUUAGAUACAAAGUCACCCUGAACUCCCAUUCAGUUCAUGCCUGGCUGAGAGGAGAUACUUGCCUUAUCUAUUUCUACAUGCUACAAUGGCUUCUGCUGCUAAAAGACAUGCGUGUUAAGAAAGGACUUAUAAACUGAAGACUAAUUUCACUUGAUUCACUAGCAGAUGAUGGAAAACUACUUCUGGUAAGUGAUGACAAAUUGCUUUUGGGAGCAGAAGACUAAGGCGGCUUCAAAACAAGCAUGAAGCAUGAAGUAAAUUUGAGCUUUAAUCACAUAAAAUAAUUAUUAAUAUGUAUUUUCCUCUCAUACUGCACCACCUCUUCUUCCCAGAGCAUGAAAUCCAGGCCUGAGUCCAGCCGAAGGGUUGGCCUUCAAUCACAGGCCAGAAGCAAUCAGCUCCACACGAGUGAUGGAUUCAUCAGCCGCUACCCGCAAGGUGCUCCAAGCUUGAACCCAGAUGAAAUGGACAGCAAGAUGGCAGGCACUAAGAAGUAGCAGAAGGUACCUGGAAAUCGGUCCAUAUGGGGAUCAAGCAGCUUCAACUGUGGAGGUCUUUCCACAUCCCUGAGCGACAGCAUACAGACGCUCCCUUCUUCUACAGGCAAGCCAGAGGUCUUCCUUUGAAGAUCGCUCCUCGAGGCACCGAAACAUGUGACUUACAUGUCUGAGCUCUGGACCCUGAGGCAAAGCAUAACUUUGAAUGCAAGAACUCUUCAAACCCGUCACUAGCAGCUCCCACAAAGGAGGAGUAACGAAACAACACCGACUUUUAACACGGAGGAACAGCAGGGUGGAUUUCCACGCUGCAAAUCAACUCCAAGGGCCCUCAGCGUAUGCCAGGCACUGCUCCCCUCACCAAUCUCACAACGCUCCCAAUGUCAGAAAAGGAGAUUGGAGACAGAUGGGAGACGCAAAGGAGCUCACGUUUCUCUCUCUGCUUAAUGGGAGUCUCCUCAGGAUGCUGACGUGUUUGAAACAGACCGGUUCCCCCUCCGGAGCACCAUCAACAGAGGUCAGCAGGGCCCUUCCCUCUGAACUGUGUAUGAUAUGAUGACGAUAACGCCAUUAAUAAAUAUCAUGUCGUGUGGCCGGUGGGUUCACUGAUGGUAUUCUGAAAACAGAGUCAUUCUGACUUGGAGAUGCUGCUCAAUGCAUUUAUUAUUCACUACGGGGAAUUUAUUAAACUUCCUGAGAUAUUAAAUAAGAGAUUAGGCUCACAAAUGAGAAAAACCGCAGAGCGGAGCAGGCGUGGUGGCAUAUCGGGCACGGAGCGGCUUGGGCGCAGGCUGAUGUGCGCAACCCAAUUCAAGAAGUGGUACCAAGCAUUAUUUACACGCUUCCUGCCUGUCUGAUACAUUUUUCAUCUAUUUCUGUGCUUCACAAGCUCUCAAUGUUGAAGAGACAAGUGGAAAAUGUAGAUGUCUCAAGUUAAACACAAAUAGCAAUAUACAAUGUAUAUCCUGGGCCGUCUUCAUUCUAGGGAAGACCUAAUGAUGUAACACACAACACACACGCACGCACAUGCGAUUGUAUUCAUAUCUUUGUGGGGACUGUCCAAUCAUUUCUAAGGGAAAAACCCUAAUCGUGACAAUGACAACCUUUGCCCCUACCCAGCCCUAAC